GUCUGAAUAUGGGGGGACCAUCCUCCAAGGCUAAAUACUCCUGACUGACCGAUAGUGAACCAGUACCGUGAGGGAAAGGCGAAAAGAACCCCGGCGAGGGGAGUGAAAAAGAACCUGAAACCGUGUACGUACAAGCAGUGGGAGCCUCUUUUAUGGGGUGACUGCGUACCUUUUGUAUAAUGGGUCAGCGACUUAUAUUCUGUAGCAAGGUUAACCGAAUAGGGGAGCCGAAGGGAAACCGAGUCUUAACUGGGCGUUAAGUUGCAGGGUAUAGACCCGAAACCCGGUGAUCUAGCCAUGGGCAGGUUGAAGGUUGGGUAACACUAACUGGAGGACCGAACCGACUAAUGUUGAAAAAUUAGCGGAUGACUUGUGGCUGGGGGUGAAAGGCCAAUCAAACCGGGAGAUAGCUGGUUCUCCCCGAAAGCUAUUUAGGUAGCGCCUCGUGAAUUCAUCUCCGGGGGUAGAGCACUGUUUCGGCAAGGGGGUCAUCCCGACUUACCAACCCGAUGCAAACUGCGAAUACCGGAGAAUGUUAUCACGGGAGACACACGGCGGGUGCUAACGUCCGUCGUGAAGAGGGAAACAACCCAGACCGCCAGCUAAGGUCCCAAAGUCAUGGUUAAGUGGGAAACGAUGUGGGAAGGCCCAGACAGCCAGGAUGUUGGCUUAGAAGCAGCCAUCAUUUAAAGAAAGCGUAAUAGCUCACUGGUCGAGUCGGCCUGCGCGGAAGAUGUAACGGGGCUAAACCAUGCACCGAAGCUGCGGCAGCGACGCUUAUGCGUUGUUGGGUAGGGGAGCGUUCUGUAAGCCUGUGAAGGUGUGCUGUGAGGCAUGCUGGAGGUAUCAGAAGUGCGAAUGCUGACAUAAGUAACGAUAAAGCGGGUGAAAAGCCCGCUCGCCGGAAGACCAAGGGUUCCUGUCCAACGUUAAUCGGGGCAGGGUGAGUCGACCCCUAAGGCGAGGCCGAAAGGCGUAGUCGAUGGGAAACAGGUUAAUAUUCCUGUACUUGGUGUUACUGCGAAGGGGGGACGGAGAAGGCUAUGUUGGCCGGGCGACGGUUGUCCCGGUUUAAGCGUGUAGGCUGGUUUUCCAGGCAAAUCCGGAAAAUCAAGGCUGAGGCGUGAUGACGAGGCACUACGGUGCUGAAGCAACAAAUGCCCUGCUUCCAGGAAAAGCCUCUAAGCAUCAGGUAACAUCAAAUCGUACCCCAAACCGACACAGGUGGUCAGGUAGAGAAUACCAAGGCGCUUGAGAGAACUCGGGUGAAGGAACUAGGCAAAAUGGUGCCGUAACUUCGGGAGAAGGCACGCUGAUAUGUAGGUGAAGUCCCUUGCGGAUGGAGCUGAAAUCAGUCGAAGAUACCAGCUGGCUGCAACUGUUUAUUAAAAACACAGCACUGUGCAAACACGAAAGUGGACGUAUACGGUGUGACGCCUGCCCGGUGCCGGAAGGUUAAUUGAUGGGGUCAGCGCAAGCGAAGCUCUUGAUCGAAGCCCCGGUAAACGGCGGCCGUAACUAUAACGGUCCUAAGGUAGCGAAAUUCCUUGUCGGGUAAGUUCCGACCUGCACGAAUGGCGUAAUGAUGGCCAGGCUGUCUCCACCCGAGACUCAGUGAAAUUGAACUCGCUGUGAAGAUGCAGUGUACCCGCGGCAAGACGGAAAGACCCCGUGAACCUUUACUAUAGCUUGACACUGAACAUUGAGCCUUGAUGUGUAGGAUAGGUGGGAGGCUUUGAAGUGUGGACGCCAGUCUGCAUGGAGCCGACCUUGAAAUACCACCCUUUAAUGUUUGAUGUUCUAACGUGGACCCGUGAUCCGGGUUGCGGACAGUGUCUGGUGGGUAGUUUGACUGGGGCGGUCUCCUCCUAAAGAGUAACGGAGGAGCACGAAGGUUGGCUAAUCCUGGUCGGACAUCAGGAGGUUAGUGCAAUGGCAUAAGCCAGCUUGACUGCGAGCGUGACGGCGCGAGCAGGUGCGAAAGCAGGUCAUAGUGAUCCGGUGGUUCUGAAUGGAAGGGCCAUCGCUCAACGGAUAAAAGGUACUCCGGGGAUAACAGGCUGAUACCGCCCAAGAGUUCAUAUCGACGGCGGUGUUUGGCACCUCGAUGUCGGCUCAUCACAUCCUGGGGCUGAAGUAGGUCCCAAGGGUAUGGCUGUUCGCCAUUUAAAGUGGUACGCGAGCUGGGUUUAGAACGUCGUGAGACAGUUCGGUCCCUAUCUGCCGUGGGCGCUGGAGAACUGAGGGGGGCUGCUCCUAGUACGAGAGGACCGGAGUGGACGCAUCACUGGUGUUCGGGUUGUCAUGCCAAUGGCACUGCCCGGUAGCUAAAUGCGGAAGAGAUAAGUGCUGAAAGCAUCUAAGCACGAAACUUGCC
rnacentral:rRNA from 1 species